CCUACGGGUGGCUGCAGUGGGGAAUAUUGCACAAUGGGGGGAACCCUGAUGCAGCGACGCCGCGUGGGUGAGGAAGUACUUCGGUAUUAAAAGCCCUAUCAGCAGGGAAGAAAAUGACGGUACCUGACUAAGAAGCACCGGCUAACUACGUGCCAGCAGCCGCGGUAAUACGUAGGGGGCAAGCGUUAUCCGGAUUUACUGGGUGUAAAGGGAGCGUAGGCGGCGUGCCAAGUCUGAUGUGAAAGGCCGGGGCUCAACCCCGGGACUGCAUUGGAAACUGGCAAGCUGGAGUGCGGGAGGGGCAAGCGGAAUUCCUGGUGUAGCGGUGAAAUGCGUAGAUAUUAGGAGGAACACCGGUGGCGAAAGCGGUUUGCUGGACGGUAACUGACGUUGAGGAUCGAAAGCGUGGGGAGCAAACGGGAUUAGAUACCCGGGUAGUC
rnacentral:rRNA from 1 species